GGUUCCGUGGUGUAAUGGCUAGCACUCUGGACUUUGAAUCCAGCGAUCCGAGUUUGAAUCUCGGUGGAACCU